rnacentral:rRNA from 1 species
CAUCUGGUUUUGAAAUUAAAAAUGGCCUCUACAUGUAAGCUGUUGUUUGGAGAUGAGCCCGCGUACCAUUAGCUUGUUGGUAGGGUAAUGGCCUACCAAGGCAACGAUGGUUAGCUGGUCUGAGAGGAUGAUCAGCCACACUGGAACUGACACACGGUCCAGACUCCUACGGGAGGCAGCAGUGAGGAAUUUUGCGCAAUGGGGGAAACCCUGACGCAGCAACGCCGCGUGAGUGAUGAAGGCCCUCGGGUCGUAAAGCUCUGUCAAGUGGGAAGAAAAUGUAAAAUGUUAAUAGCAUUAUACACUGACGGUACCACUGAAGGAAGCACCGGCUAACUCCGUGCCAGCAGCCGCGGUAAUACGGAGGGUGCAAGCGUUAUUCGGAAUUAUUGGGCGUAAAGGGCGCGUAGGCGGCCUUCUAAGUCAGAUGUGAAAGCCCGGGGCUUAACCCCGGAAGUGCAUUUGAAACUAAAGGGCUUGAGUAUGGGAGAGGGAAGUGGAAUUCCUGGUGUAGCGGUGAAAUGCGUAGAUAUCAGGAGGAACACCGGUGGCGAAGGCGACUUCUGGACCAAUACUGUCGCUAAGGCGCGAAGGCGUGGGUAGCAAACAGGAUUAGAUACCCUGGUAGUCCACGCAGUAAACGGUGAACACUAGGUGUAGCGGGUAUUGACCCCUGCUGUGCCGCAGCUAACGCAUUAAGUGUUCCGCCUGGGGAGUACGGUCGUAAGAUUAAAACUCAAAGGAAUUGACGGGGGCCCGCACAAGCGGUGGAGCAUGUGGUUUAAUUCGACGCAACGCGAAGAACCUUACCUGGAUUUGACAUCCCGGGAAGUCUUUUGAAAGAAAGAUGUGCCCUUCGGGGAACCCGGUGACAGGUGCUGCAUGGCUGUCGUCAGCUCGUGUCGUGAGAUGUUGGGUUAAGUCCCGCAACGAGCGCAACCCCUAUCUUUAGUUACCAUCAUUUAGUUGGGGACUCUAAAGAUACUGCUCCGGUUAACGGGGAGGAAGGUGGGGAUGACGUCAAGUCCUCAUGGCCUUUAUGUCCAGGGCUACACACGUGCUACAAUGGGCUAUACAAAGGGUUGCGAACCCGCGAGGGUGAGCUAAUCCCAUAAAGUAGCUCCUAGUUCGGAUUGGAGUCUGCAACUCGACUCCAUGAAGCUGGAAUCGCUAGUAAUCGUGGAUCAGCAUGCCACGGUGAAUACGUUCCCGGGCCUUGUACACACCGCCCGUCACACCAUGAGAGUUGGUUGUACCAGAAGUUGUUGGACUAACCUGUAAGGGAAGUAGGCACCUAAGGUAUGGCUGAUGAUUGGGGUGAAGUCGUAACAAGGUA